UGAGGCGGGGCUUCGCCAAACCCAUCCCCUGGGGGGAGGCAGCCUCCGCCCUCUUUCCCCGCCCCCCUCAUCUGUGCGAGGCCGUACUUUUCCGUACAAAGCAGAAGUGCCAGGCGGAGAAGACCAAUGUAAAACCCUGACAGUUUUGGGAUGAUCACGGAGGACAAAGUUGAGAUUUGCAAGUGAGAAAAACUGAAGUCCCUGUACCGAGUGUAAACCUGCCAACCUUUGCCUUCACUGACUGCUCAGCAGAAUCAAAAGGAGUCUUGAAAGUCAGUCUACAGGAAAUUCUCAGGCUGAAGAAGGAUUGAUCUAGCAUCUGAGUUCCAGAGUAACGGGCUCAGAAUAUUGCAGGAGCACCUUAUUCUAAAAGCAAAGACUAAGAAUUUUUAAAUGAGAGAUAGCUCUGCUUUCUUGCAUUAAAAAGGCAAGACAAUCAAACAGUACUUGUCAUUUCUUCAGUA